rnacentral:rRNA from 1 species
GACGAACGCUGGCGGCGUGCUUAACACAUGCAAGUCGAACGGAAAGGCCCUGCUUUUGUGGGGUGCUCGAGUGGCGAACGGGUGAGUAACACGUGAGUAACCUGCCCUUGACUUUGGGAUAACUUCAGGAAACUGGGGCUAAUACCGGAUAGGAGCUCCUGCUGCAUGGUGGGGGUUGGAAAGUUUCGGCGGUUGGGGAUGGACUCGCGGCUUAUCAGCUUGUUGGUGGGGUAGUGGCUUACCAAGGCUUUGACGGGUAGCCGGCCUGAGAGGGUGACCGGCCACAUUGGGACUGAGAUACGGCCCAGACUCCUACGGGAGGCAGCAGUGGGGAAUAUUGCACAAUGGGCGGAAGCCAGAUGCAGCAACGCCGCGUGCGGGAUGACGGCCUUCGGGUUGUAAACCGCUUUCGCCUGUGACGAAGCGUGAGUGACGGUAAUGGGUAAAGAAGCACCGGCUAACUACGU